GAGUUUGAUCAUGGCUCAGAAUCAACGCUGGCGGCGCGCCUAACACAUGCAAGUCGAACGAGAAAGUGGAGCAAUCCAUGAGUACAGUGGCGUACGGGUGAGUAACACGUGGGUAAUCUACCUCUUAGUGGGGAAUAACCAGGGGAAACUCUGGCUAAUACCGCAUAAGCCUGGGAAGGGAAAGCAGCAAUGCGCUGAGAGAGGAGCCCGUGGCCGAUUAGCUAGUUGGUGAGGUAAAAGCCCACCAAGGCAUAGAUCGGUAGCCGGCCUGAGAGGGCACACGGCCACACUGGCACUGAAACACGGGCCAGACUCCUACGGGAGGCAGCAGUGGGGAAUCUUGCACAAUGGGGGAAACCCUGAUGCAGCGACGCCGCGUGAGCGAUGAAGCCCUUCGGGGUGUAAAGCUCUUUCGUCAGGGACGAUAAUGACGGUACCUGGAGAAGCAGCUGCGGCUAACUACGUGCCAGCAGCCGCGGUAAUACGUAGGCAGCAAGCGUUGU
rnacentral:rRNA from 1 species